rnacentral:rRNA from 1 species
ACAGCAGUAGCCGCGGUAAUACGGAGGAUCCAAGCGUUAUCCGGAAUCAUUGGGUUUAAAGGGUCCGUAGGCGGUCUUGUAAGUCAGUGGUGAAAGCCCAUCGCUCAACGGUGGAACGGCCAUUGAUACUGCAGGACUUGAAUUAUUGGGAAGUAACUAGAAUAUGUAGUGUAGCGGUGAAAUGCUUAGAGAUUACAUGGAAUACCAAUUGCGAAGGCAGGUUACUACCAAUUGAUUGACGCUGAUGGACGAAAGCGUGGGUAGCGAACAGGAUUAGAUACCCGCGUAGUCCCUGUCUCUUAUAA